rnacentral:rRNA from 1 species
GCGCACCAGGCGCGAAUACUCCGCAAUGCACGAAGUGUGACGGGUCAACCCGAGUGCCAACUCAAAGUUGGCUUUCACCGGUGUAAGCAGCCGGUGGAAUAAGGGAGGGCAAGGCUGGUGCCAGCCGCCGCGGUAAACCAGCUCCUCGAGUAGUCAAGACGUUUAUUGGGCCUAAAGCGUCCGUAGCCGGUCCAGUAAGUCUCUGGUCAAAUCUAACGGCUCAACCGUUAGACCGCUAGAGAUACUGCUGGACUCGGAGGCGGGAGAGGCCGAGGGUACUCUCAGGGUAGGGGUGAAAUCCGAUAAUCCUGAGGGGACCACCAGUGGCGAAGGCGCUCGGCUGGAACGCGCUCGACGGUGAGGGACGAAAGCCAGGAGAGCGAACCGG